CUAUACUAGUUCCCUGGCAGGUAAGGGGUUAACAGCUGAUAGAUGCCCCUGGCAGAUGAGAGGUUAAUGAAUGAGUUACCUGCAGUUCUGACAGUAAAGGAAAGACAGGUGAGGAAUGCAUGCUCUGCAGCUAUUAAAAGACCAUGGCCUGGGGUGUUAUUCAGUAAGGAAGAGUUAUUGCCCUGGGACGUGGGUAUCUAAUCAGUAUAUGAAGAGGUUUAGUUU